CAAUAGCGUAUAUUUAAGUUGUUGCAGUUAAAAAGCUCGUAGUCGGAUUUUGGCUGAGAACGAUCGGUCCGCCGUUAGGUGUGCACUGAUUGGUCUCAGCUUCCUGGUGAGGAGGUGUGCUUCACGGCCACUUAGUCACCGUGGUUACUUUGAAAAAAUUAGAGUGUUCAAAGCGGGCUUACGCUUGAAUAUAUUAGCAUGGAAUAACACCAUAGGACUCCUGUCCUAUUUCGUUGGUCUCGGGACGGGAGUAAUGAUUAAGAGGAACAGUUGGGGGCAUUCGUAUUUCAUUGUCAGAGGUGAAAUUCUUGGAUUUAUGAAAGACGAACUUCUGCGAAAGCAUUUGCCAAGGAUGUUUCCAUUGA
rnacentral:rRNA from 1 species